AUUAAAAUAGACAAUGUACAAUUUUUCAUUGAGAGGCAUUUGUAAGGGAGAAGCAGGACACUAAAAGGCUUGUUUUGAGACCACAAUGUAAGAGCAGAUUUAUAAUCUUUUAAGAUUUUAAACAUAAUACUCUUCAUAGUAAGUCAUAGGCAUGGCAUUACAGCAGCAUAGCAAAAGACAAAUGGCUCUAGGAAGUCAAAGUGUAAUCCAUUAAGCACUGCUGCAACCACACUGAAAGGGACACUCAUGCAAAUUCCUCUGAAUGAAUGGAUGCUGUACAGAAGCAGUGCUUGGUGGAUUGGCACCGUAUGUUGCAAUCAUUUAGGUACCACACAGUAGGAAAAAACCUGAACUGAGCUAGCAUGCAAUACCACUCAGUCUCAAAUCUUAACAGUUAUGGUGAUGGAACAAGUAGC